rnacentral:rRNA from 1 species
GUGAGGAAUAUUGGUCAAUGGGCGCAAGCCUGAACCAGCCAUGCCGCGUGCAGGAUGACGGUCCUAUGGAUUGUAAACUGCUUUUGUACGAGAAGAAACACUGAUUCGUGAAUCAGCUUGACGGUAUCGUAAGAAUAAGGAUCGGCUAACUCCGUGCCAGCAGCCGCGGUAAUACGGAGGAUCCAAGCGUUAUCCGGAAUCAUUGGGUUUAAAGGGUCCGUAGGCGGUCUUGUAAGUCAGUGGUGAAAGCCCAUCGCUCAACGGUGGAACGGCCAUUGAUACUGCUGGACUUGAAUUAUUAGGAAGUAACUAGAAUAUGUAGUGUAGCGGUGAAAUGCUUAGAGAUUACAUGGAAUACCAAUUGCGAAGGCAGGUUACUACUAAUUGAUUGACGCUGAUGGACGAAAGCGUGGGUAGCGAACAGGAUUAGAAACCCUUGUAGUCC